CCACAGAUGUAUUGUCCAUUCUGCGGCUCUGCACUGAUGGCGUCUCCUGCAUUUUGUUGUCUGUGUGGCAGAAACAUCAGUUUUUUUAAAUGAUCUGCCAAACAAUGUCCCUCCUGAUGUCCCUCCUAUUGCACCUCCUGAUCCACAGCCUAGCACUAGUACAGGUUCAUCAUUACAUGUACAGUCCUUUAUGACAUUUAGGGCAAUAAAGGAGAGGGAAAGAAAGACAUUCUUUCGGAAAACACAGAACUCUAAAAACAAGAACUCUAUGGAACAUAAACCAGUAAAGAUUAAUGUUGGAGUUAUGAGGAUGCAAGGUGACUCCCUUAAACCUGUGAGAGGGAAGUCACUUCCUGUUGAUAUUCAACCACAGUACUCAUCGUAACAAUUGCUGGCUGCUGCUGUAAAGAAGCAAAAAGAUUUCAACCAGGAUAUGGAAGAUUGUACUCAUGUUUUAUUAUAUCCUGAUGCUAAGGAAGUUACAAGCAUCCCAGGAACGGACACCCCUUUCACAGUACAGAAAUACAAGGAGGCUAUUGGAAAGUCCUACCAAAGAAUAACGUUGUACAUUUGCAGUGCUGAGGACUUUGCAAACAGUUGUAAGUAAACAUCUUCCAUCUUAAUCAGGGUGUCCGCAACGUUUUAAAAAGUGAUUAAUCAAAAUCGACAAGUUUAAGGCCAUUAAAAGGUGUUUAAUUUGGUUUAGAGGUAUUAUUUUUUUAAAUAGGUAUUUUUUCAGACUGUGGUGUCCUAUUCUGAUUGAAAUGCUAUCUGCUAAAGUUUGCAGUAGUUCGUUUAAAUGCGGGCUUUAGCAUAUCGGGGCACAUAAUCAAAGAUCCUCGUGUAGUCUCAACUUUGUGUUUGAUUCCGACGUCAUAUUCAGUGGUCGUUCGACAUCUCAAAUACUUGGCUAGCUUACAUUGUUGACUAGUCCAGACAACCAUCGUCGUCGUCAUGGGCAAAUGCAAGUUUUCUGACAGCUGGAUGGAAGACCCAGCAUUUAAGGACUGGCUCAGGCCUGCAGUAGGGAAUAACCGGCAGGCUUAUUGUUCGGUUUGUAAAAAAAAAAAAAAAA